rnacentral:rRNA from 2 species
UACGGAGGGAGCUAGCGUUAUUCGGAAUUACUGGGCGUAAAGCGCACGUAGGCGGCUUUGUAAGUUAGAGGUGAAAGCCUGGAGCUCAACUCCAGAAUUGCCUUUAAGACUGCAUCGCUUGAAUCCAGGAGAGGUGAGUGGAAUUCCGAGUGUAGAGGUGAAAUUCGUAGAUAUUCGGAAGAACACCAGUGGCGAAGGCGGCUCACUGGACUGGUAUUGACGCUGAGGUGCGAAAGCGUGGGGAGCAAACAGG